rnacentral:rRNA from 1 species
AACCUUUAGCCAAACAAGUAUUAAAGGCAACGCCUGCCCAGUGAACAAUUAAACGGCCGCGGUACCCUAACCGUGCAAAGGUAGCGUAAUCACUUGUCUAUUAAUUGUAGACCCGUAUGAAAGGCAAAAUGAGGGCCAAACUGUCUCUUAUAAUAAAUCAAUUAAACUGAUCUCCCGGUCAAAAAGCCGGGAUUCCCACAUAAGACCAGAAGACCCUGUGAAGCUUAAACCAAACUAUUAACCCAAAUAAUAGCUACUUUCGGUUGGGGCGACCUUGGAAAAAAAAAGAACUUCCAAAUCAUGACUUCACUCACACCCAACAGGCACACAUGCCAAAACAAGACCCAGCACAGCUGACAAUUGAACCAAGUUACUCCAGGGAUAACAGCGCUAUCUUCUUCAAGAGCCCAUAUCAAAAAGAAGGUUUACGACCUCGAUGUUGGAUCAGGACAUCCUAAUGGUGCAGCCGCUAUUAAGGGUUCGUUUGUUCAACGAUUAACAGUCCU